GGCAGCAGUAGGGAAUCUUCGCGCAAUGGACGAAAGUCUGACCGAGCAACGCCGCGUGAGUGAAGAAGGUUUUCGGAUCGUAAAACUCUGUUGUUAGAGAAGAACAAGGAUGAGAGUAAAAUGUUCAUCCCCUUGACGGUAUCUA
rnacentral:rRNA from 1 species